GCGUGUGUAGCUCAACGGUUAGAGCAGAGCGCUCAUAACGCUUUGGUUGGGGGUUCAAAUCCCUCCACACGCACCA
rnacentral:tRNA from 1 species